rnacentral:rRNA from 1 species
ACCAAGUGAUCUACCCAUGUCCAGGUUGAAGGUGCGGUAAAACGCACUGGAGGACCGAACCAGGGCACGUUGAAAAGUGCUUGGAUGAGGUGUGGGUAGCGGAGAAAUUCCAAUCGAACUUGGAGAUAGCUGGUUCUCUCCGAAAUAGCUUUAGGGCUAGCCUCGGAAGUGAGAAUCGUGGAGGUAGAGCACUGUUUGGACUAGGGGCCCAUCUCGGGUUACCGAAUUCAGAUAAACUCCGAAUGCCAUGUAUUUAUAUCCGGGAGUCAGACUGCGAGUGAUAAGAUCCGUAGUCGAAAGGGAAACAGCCCAGACCACCAGCUAAGGUCCCAAAAUAUCUGUUAAGUGGAAAAGGAUGUGGGGUUGCACAGACAACUAGGAUGUUGGCUUAGAAGCAGCCAUCAUUCAAAGAGUGCGUAAUAGCUCACUAGUCGAGUGACCCUGCGCCGAAAAUGUAACGGGGCUAAACAGAUUACCGAAGCUGUGGAUUGGACCUAAUGGUCCAGUGGUAGGAGAGCGUUCUAAGGGCGGUGAAGCAUGACCGUAAGGACAUGUGGAGCGCUUAGAAGUGAGAAUGCCGGUAUGAGUAGCGAAAGACGGGUGAGAAUCCCGUCCACCGAAUAACUAAGGUUUCCUGGGGAAGGCUCGUCCUCCCAGGGUUAGUCGGGACCUAAGGCGAGGCCGAUAGGCGUAGUCGAUGGACAACAGGUUGAUAUUCCUGUACUUCUAUAAAUCGUUUGAGCAAUGGAGGGACGCAGGAGGCUAAGAAAAGCGUACGACUGGAAGUGUACGCCCAAGCAGUGAGUCGGCUGAUGAGUCAAAUGCUUAUCACGGAUGCGACAAGCUGUAACGGGGAGGGAAGUUUAGUACCGAAGUUUCUGAUGUCACACUGCCGAGAAAAGCUUCUAGCAAGAUUUAUAGGACCCGUACCGCAAACCGACACAGGUAGUUGAGGAGAGAAUCCUAAGGUGAGCGAGCGAACUCUCGUUAAGGAACUCGGCAAAAUGACCCCGUAACUUCGGGAGAAGGGGUGCUGGUAGCAAUACCAGCCGCAGUGAAUAGGCCCAGGCGACUGUUUAUCAAAAACACAGGUCUCUGCAAAAUCGAAAGAUGACGUAUAGGGGCUGACGCCUGCCCGGUGCUGGAAGGUUAAGAGGAGAGGUUAGCGCAAGCGAAGCUUUGAAUUGAAGCCCCAGUAAACGGCGGCCGUAACUAUAACGGUCCUAAGGUAGCGAAAUUCCUUGUCGGGUAAGUUCC